CCCCAGGGCUUUAGUCAGGAUCCUUUCUGCAUUCUUUAUGUAUGUUCAGUGGAAGAAAUCCGUUACGUCCCUGGGAGAGCGAUCUCCACUUCCAACUUCCCUGGUCUGGUCAUCAGAUCGGGGAUUGAUAGGCGCCGUUUUGGGGUUCUAUCACCGGAUACCGGACGUGUUCCAGACGAGUUGAAGGCCGCCACUAUCCAUUCGGAUGGCACAUGGCUGUCUUCUUAGUGAUGAUUCACACAUCC
rnacentral:snoRNA from 1 species